GGAAUUGGGUGCCAUCUCGGACUCACCCCCAGCCUUCCUUAUCUCGGCCAUCUUUGUUUGGUCCUCUCAGGUCGCACAGUGUCCUCCUCGGGGGGCUUAGCCCCCUUCAGAGCCUUCCCUAAGUCUCUGAGUGUGGAUUUUGGGGGGCUCAGCCAGCAGCAGAGUCACAGUGCCCUCAGCAUCACCCCCCCAGCCCCCGGCCCAAACACACACACAAACCACCAGGACCGCUACGCUGCCCUGUCCCAACUAAACAGUGUCUUCUCUGACACGUCGCCUGGACCUACAGCACCCCCCGGUGGACUACCCCAGUAUAGCACCCUAUUUGGGAACCGCCUGUCCUCCAGUUCCACUCCUGCCAGCUCUCCAGGCGUGGAUGCUGUGUCGGGAUCUCAAACAUUUGCAAGCUUCCCCAACCCGUUCAGCUCCAGUUCCAACUCUCAGCAGCAACAGCCUGCCCUGUCCCCCAGUAACCCAUUCAACAGGUCCACCUCAGGAGGUGACUCCAGUGGGUUCGUCAGCUCUCCAACCUCAGUGUUCCCUCCGUCCGCCACCUUCCCAACUCCGGCUACCCAGAAUGCAUUUCCACACAAGCAUGCCAACAACCAGGAAGCCAAUGGUUUUGCCUCUUUCCCGGCAUCGGACUCUCAACCCAAAGUUCCUCGUCCAAUGUCAGUGAACCCAUUCACUGUGAGUACCACACCACACUACAGCAACACUACAAUAAGCAUUGAGUGUACUUCAAUAGAUUUGCACAGUUUGUUGGGGAUUUGGACUGCUAGCUGCUUAAUUCUUAUGCUAAUGCUUCAUUCAAAAGGCAUUGGAGGGCUUUUCUGGUGAUGUAGAUGUACAGCAGGAACUCACCAUCUCCCUCCCUCUCUCUCCAUCUCUCCUCACCCUCUCUCUUUCUAUCUCUCCCACCCUCUCUCUUUCUAUCUCUCCCACCCUCUCCCACCCUCUCUUUCCAUCUCUCCCUCACUCUUUCCAUCUCUCCCUCACCCUUUCCCUCUUUCCAUAUCCCCCUCACCCUUUCCCUAUUUCCAUCUAUCCCACCCUCUCUCUUUCCAUCUCUCCCUCACCCUUUCCCUCUUUCCAUAUCUCCCUCACCAUUUCCCUGUCUUUCCAUCUCUCCCUCCCUCUCUCUUGCCAUCUCUCAGGGGAAUGUUUACCCGAGUAGAGGAACGUCGCGAAACCCUUUCAUCUGAUACCGGUGCCCCGGCUACCCCCCAACCAUCCUUGGGCACAUGAAGACCAGUGAACUUUAGGAGCUGCUGCCAUUUCAAUGCCUCUAGAGUAUUUUCGCCUUCAGAGAGAGGGGAAGCAUUCAUGCAGGCUCCUCUCCCCUCUACGUGUGUGUGUGUGUGUGUGUGUGUGUGUGUGUGGAGUCUCUGUACAGUAAUGUUGAUCCGUUGAAAUAACGUGUGUGUGUGUGUGUGUGACCAUAUAUUAAAGGUGUUUGUAUGACAAUAGAAUCCACCUCAGGGCUCAGUGGGUGCCAUCAACAAGACACACACACACACACAUACACACUUUGCUGUUUCUCCCAUGUCCCGCUUUUGUGCAACAACAGUCCCAUUCUUAAAACAGUACGCCAAAUCAUCACAUUCGGCUUGCUUUUUUGGAGCCACCUCUGAAAAUGGCCUUCAAAAAUUAGCCAGUCCAGUCAGUCAGUGUGUAUCAAGUUACAGAAGGGAGAGAUAUCCCGCUUUAAGGCUAUGAAAGCUGAACAUGAUGACGAGCAAAAAAUUAUGACAAGCAAAGCAUUUUUUUUCCCUUUAGUGAUGGUUAUGGCAGCCUUAACAUAACAUCCUCCUAAUGCAUGUAGAUAGGAAGACAUUACAGACAAGCCUGUCUUUCCCCCCCAUGUGCUGUGUGUCUGUAUGUGGAGAACACGUUUGUAUCGUUUUAUGUCCGUUUUUGUCUUGAGUAAAUUGUUUGUGUUUCAGUCUCAGGCUGCAUGUGCUUGGAGGGCUUCAAAGAGGAGAUACUAUUGAAUGUAAAAAGCUAUUUUCAAAACAUAACUGUUUUAUUUCUCCCUGUAAUGGACCAAAUAUGUGUUAUUUUGGGUGAAAAUAUGGAGAUGAAAUUGAUCUCUUGCAAACAAAAGAAAGAGUUCUAUUGAGAAAGUGUUUGUAAUGAUGUGUCCAUGUUCAUAAAUUCAAAUAUUUGUUGCGUCUUUAAACAG
rnacentral:lncRNA from 1 species